UCACGGGCAGCGGGAGUAAAACCGCGGGCGCUGGAAGGGGCAGAGUGGUGAGGGCUUCUGAAGGCGCAGCCGCGCUCCCCGCGGCCCGGCUGAGCGUCCACCAGGAGCUCGCGCCAGGCCUUCCCGGCUGGGCCGGCCGAGGGCAGCCAGAGCUGUGUGAUGACCCGGUUCCAGCUCACACCGCCUCGUGCGCCCGGUGUCGGUGACUGAGCAGCUGCCACAGGGCUUCCCAGUUCUGGAGGCUGGAAGUCCAAGAUCAAGUGUUGGCAGAGUUGGUCUCUGCUCACUCUAGCGAAGGUUAGCCACCCUGUCAUGAGGACAUUCAGCACCCCCUUGAGAAGUCCAUGUGUGCCAAUGUCCAUGUGUGCCAACGUCCACGUGGAAAGGAGCUAAUUCACCAGCAACAACUUUCCAGCCAGCUGCAGCUCCAAUAAAGGCGAAACCACCGGCCACCCUCCCUCUGGAUCUGAAUGCUUUCAAGGAACUAUUUAUUGAGACUGAGCAAGGACUACUUUCUCUGGUUUUCAAAUAUGUUUAACACACCAAUCAAUGUGGCACCUUGUUAAUCAUUUCACUCAACCAAUCCUCAUCGAGCACCGAAAUACACAGAGCACAAUCCCCAACAGUGAGGUUCAAGGUGGUGAAACCCCAUCACUGCCAUAGGAGCUUCCUGCCCAGUGGAUUCGAAUUACAGAAUACAAUAUAAUCAGGUAAUAAUCACCAAAAACAUCAGGUCUAGUUUUACUCAUUUACCAAAGGCGUGAGAAAGCUGGGUGUGCCCUGGGA